AGCUACUUCUGUCCUCAGAACUACACAACCACUUACAUCCACCAUAUUCACUAUGUGCUACUUCUGUUCCUAGAAGCACCACCCAUAUAAGUACACUACACUCUGUGUUGUUUCUAUCCUAGAGACACACACUUAUGCUGCUCCUACCCUCGGAGUACGCAUUCCUCUAUUCAUUCACCCAUACACAUUCCACAUCCAUGUAGAAAAUAUUCUACUCUUACACUAGGAGAAGAUACCCAAAAAUGUUAAUUGUCAUUAUGUCUUAUUCUACUUAUCAAAUAAAGCUCCAGUUAUUUCAGUUGAUACUCCCUACUGUUAUCAGUGCAUUAAAAGGGUUGGCUGAUCUCUAAAAAAUGAGAAAAAAAGAAAGAGGACAAAAGUCCCAAAAGAAAAGAAAGACAACCA
rnacentral:lncRNA from 1 species